rnacentral:rRNA from 1 species
UACGUAGGGUGCAAGCGUUAAUCGGAAUUACUGGGCGUAAAGCGUGCGCAGGCGGUUAUGCACGACAGAUGUGAAAUCCCCGGGCUCAACCUGGGAACUGCAUUUGUGACUGCAUGGCUAGAGUACGGUAGAGGGGGAUGGAAUUCCGCGUGUAGCAGUGAAAUGCGUAGAUAUGCGGAGGAACACCGAUGGCGAAGGCAAUCCCCUGGACCUGUACUGACGCUCAUGCACGAAAGCGUGGGGAGCAAACAGG